rnacentral:rRNA from 1 species
UACGUAGGGUGCAAGCGUUAAUCGGAAUUACUGGGCGUAAAGCGUGCGUAGGCGGUUCGUUAAGUUCGUUGUGAAAGCCCCGGGCUCAACCUGGGAAUGGCAAUGGAAACUGGCGGGCUUGAGUAUGGCAGAGGGGGGUGGAAUUCCGCGUGUAGCAGUGAAAUGCGUAGAGAUGCGGAGGAACACCGAUGGCGAAGGCAGCCCCCUGGGCCAAUACUGACGCUCAGGCACGAAAGCGUGGGGAGCAAACAGG